rnacentral:tRNA from 1 species
GGGGGCAUAGCUCAGUGGUAGAGUGUUUGCUUAGUAUGCACAAGGUCCUGGAUUCAAUCCUCAGUACCUCCA